ensembl:lncRNA
GUUUGGACCAGAUCACAGCUCUGCAAGGCCGCAGUCCCAGCUCUGCCGCUGACCUCACCAGCAGCAUUCUUUAGAGCACUCAUCAUCAUUUGCAAGGAGUCUGAGGGGAAAGCACGUGGGGCUGUGCUGGUCGAACAUCCCAUCCAUUCAUCCAGCCACUUGUUCAUUCAUCCAACAAAUCUUUGUCGAGUAUCUGCAUGUUCAAGGCACUCUGCUUGGUUUUCUACAAUAGAAAGAAGCUCCAGGCUCCAUGGAGAUCACCUUAUUUUUUAGAGAUGUCAAAGGUUUACCUCGUAUGGACAACAUAGGAUAUGGCUAUCCCCUGGAAGGAAUUGGUGGGACACAAACAAAAGGGGAGGCUCCAGCCUCGACUCGGGCCCUGGCCCACAGGCAGAUCCUGAGAGGUCAAAGCCAGUGGCGGUGUUCCCCUCUUCCUUUGCCAGCAGCUGGUUUAAGAUGGGUUUGUUAGGCUUGUUAGUCUGAGACCCAAGGGGACCUCUGCCGGGGGCUUCUGGGAGAGUUUGCUGUCUUAUAUGGAGAUUGUGGAUCUACGAUGCCUGGGCGGCUGCAGCCCGUCUUUCCACCAGUCUGGGGAUAAAGCCAACCCUGGGGACUGCCGAGCAGAAAGAAGCUGGCCUGUUCUGAAAUUGUGAAACGACUGAAUAAACCAACUCUGGAGACCCAGUCUGAGCUCCUUGUGCUGGAGAGAAUACUUCUGCUUAUUACUUAAGCCUAUUUGAGGCAGGGUUUUUCCAGUAGUUACAGAAUCCUGACUGAUGCGGAAACUCCAUGAGCAAGGUUAGAAAUCCCCUUGUAGUAGCUGAGUGAAGUGGAGCCGAGACACAAGGGCAAUUGAGUUUCCACAAAACCUGCUUCAGGCCCCUGACCCUCUGGUUUUCUGUUUGCAUUCAGGGUCAACAGGAGAAUGGCAGGCACAUUGGAAUCAACACAUCUGUUUAGAAGGGGCCACACAACACAUGUGCUAAUGGACCUGGAUUUGACUGAAUUACUUCCUGUUCAUGAAUCUUCUUCUGCUGGAGAAGCAACUUUGUCAAUUUGCUAUCCCUCCUUUAAGGCCUCUUUGAAAGCACAGUGAAAUGAAUCUCACGGCUGGGGCAUCCUGGGGAAGCUGUUAGCCACGUUCCCAACUGCAGCCAGAGGUUCCCCUCAGCCCUCUCCUCUAUCAGUCUCAACCAGCAUGGCUGGGACAGGGUCCUGAAAUCUGCAUUUUUAAUGAGCUCCGCAGGCGGUCCUGAAGUAGAUGCUCCAGGGGCUUUCUUGGGGAGCGUUGAUCUAACACACCCCAGACCGAGGCUGGCUGUUUCUCCAGAAGUAGCCUGGGGUGAGGGAAAGCUGGGGCAUUGAAACCACGGCUCUGUCAUUCUUAGCCGCCUGACCCAGCCUCACGGCAUCGCAGUUUCUUCGUAUGUAAAACAGGACUAACAGUACCAGCUCCCCGGGGGUGAGGAUGAAAUACUGAAUGAAAACUGCACAUUCCUGCUCGGUUCGCUAAUCGAUGUAUUGCUUCCACAGGCUCUUCAGGAACAGGGCCGGUCCGAUGCCCACAGGAUGUACCAGCGUCUGGUCUCCCCGGUGGGCCCAGGCUUUCUGUCAUAAAUCCAUCCAGCUGAGCUUUCCAUCACGUGCCAGAGCAGAAGCAGCUUCCUGCACACCUUCUGUUUAGGGCACACCUGUUCCCCUGGGGCCAGCCUCUUACUAAAGCCGCCCUAGGUUUCUGAAUAUUGCUCCCCAGAAGCAGUUCACAACAAUUAAAGUGAGGAAAAGGGACUCUCCUACUUAGGGACUAGUGCACCAGCCUCUUCCCUCCUUCAUAGGAAAGAUGGGGAGGGGAACGAAGGAGGAGAGGAAGGGAAUUGGCAAAAAUCAGCCUCCAGCUGACUCCCAGGCAAUUAUGCCUCCAGCACACACUUACUGAACACUUGCUGUGCAUCAGACACUGGGCAAUGAGUCCACAUUUGCCUCUGGCCCCGGUCACCCUCUUCCACCCUUCUGCUUGUAAAAAUGCACUGAGAACCAGAGUCUGGAGGAGAACGAGGUAACACUUGGAAGUUUCAGUUGGCCUCGAUUUCCGCUUUUUACCUCCCUUCCUGAGAUUCCCUCUUCUCCAGCCUUCAGGCACCAGGCAGUGCCCUCAUGCUGUCUCCUGGUUUGGGGUCUUGCUCUGUGCUCUUCCUGGGGGACCUGGCUGCUCAGGAAUGCUCAGAGUUAGUGUUAUAAACCAACACUUCUCCGCCACAGCCCCCUGGUGUGCCUCAAGUGAUGUGCUGCGAAGAGCAGUGAAGACGGAACUCAUGUGAAGCUCGCAAAUGCCUUAGUCUUUAAAGGAUUCGUUAGAGCCAGUUCAAGGUCAUCCCUAACUUCACACCCCUGUCAAUUGUCUGUGCUCCAUCCUGGUCUCACGAGCGGACUUAGAGACAGUGCCGAGGGUUUGCACAAACCGCUGUCUACUCAUCUGUCGUGGUGGUCAGGGCGGAUGGGGCAAAGGAGGACCCCGUGGGCAGCCCCAAUCGAUGCUGCUUGACUUUCACUUUUCUCUAGUCUUCAAGAGAGGGAAGGAAAUCCCUUCUAACCCAGUGAGAAUUGUCUAGGUAGAAAAGAAUGAUGAUGCUGAUCUUCAGCCUUCUCCUCCCAGGUCACCUCCAUUCUUGGCCUUUCCUGACCAGGACCAUCCCCUGUCCUUGAUCUCUUUUGUGUCCCACUUGUCCUCUUUGAUAUCUUUGCAGUUUGGGUCGUGUUCACAACUUGACAUUGUACAUCGAGAGUCUGACUAAUGCCCAAAGGAACGGAAUUGCUUCAAGCCGUUGCUUAAUAUAUUUCUUUUAAUACUUUUCAGGAUUCAGCUGGUCAGUGGACAAAAGAGCCCAAUUAAACCACCAAGCUGCAGCAAACGCGCUCAGGAAGGGCCUCAGCACAGGCCUGGAGCACUGAAGAACGUCUCCUCAAUGCGGGCUUUGGGAACAGCCUUCAGGCAGACAGUGAGGCCCCGCACAGCCUCUGCUCCUGGAAAAGCCCUGAAGGCCUGUGCGAUGUGCCCUUGGGAUGAUACUGGGGUCUCCCAAGGCUCCACCCUAGGUGGGCCCCGUUGCCUCCUCCGUUCACCCUUCCCCAGCCACAUCAGGUACCAGGGCAGUCCCAUCCUCAGAGCAGGCUGCAGGCUGUGAGGCUCCUGGAGCUGGGUCUGUGCUAUCCCGUUAGCCUGGGAUGCUGCCUUCUCCACCCCUCAAUGAUCACAACCCAUCUCUCCCCUCAAGAUGCCAUUCAAACGCUCCUUUUCUGCAGCCCCCGUCUCCUCCUGUUGCGAUCCUAGAGCACAUUGCUUGCAUGUUGCUGAACAGAUGCCCAUCCUGAUCUGGGAUUCAGUAGUGGUCUCCACCACCACCCUUCCCACCAAGCUACUCUGCCACUUCCCUCAAGGGGAGAGACGGGUAGGGGAACUUCGUCUACAGACUGCCUGUCACUUGCCGGGCACCGUGCUGGUUGCUAUAUGAGAAUACCAUUUAAUCCCCGUGUCCACUGCAAGGCAGUCAUUGUCAUACCCAUUUUACAGAUGAGAUUUGCCAAAUAAAGGCAGAGAGCCAGAAUUACAGUUUAAACUCAAGUCUGACUCUUGCAACAACCAUGUUAGUAAUUGUCUAUUAAUCUUUGUUUGGCCUUGUCACCUGGCACAGGCCUUGCCCACAAACAAUUCCCAGUAAAUGUUGGUGAGUGGAGCGUGUGAUCCCGGAGUGCUGAAGGAAAGCAAAGUGGGCAUCUGGACUGAGUUAGGCUUUGACGUAACUUUCUAAAGAGGCUAUUUGCACUUUCAAAGGGGGAG